rnacentral:tRNA from 1 species
UCCCUUGUGGCUCAGAUGGUAAAGAAUCUGCCUGUAGUGCAGGAGACCUGGGUUCAAUCCCUAGGUUGGGAA